CCCGCUGAACUUAAGCAUAUCAAUAAGCGGAGGAAAAGAAACUAACAAGGAUUCCCCUAGUAACGGCGAGUGAACCGGGAAGAGCUCAAAUUUGAAAUCUGGCGUGCUCAGUGCGUCCGAGUUGUAAUCUAUAGAGUCGUUUUCCGUGCCGGACUGUGUCCAAGUCCCUUGGAACAGGGUAUCAAAGAGGGUGAUAAUCCCGUACUUGACACAAUGACCGGUGCUCUGUGAUACGUCUUCUACGAGUCGAGUUGUUUGGGAAUGCAGCUCAAAAUGGGUGGUGAGUUCCAUCUAAAGCUAAAUAUUGGCGAGAGACCGAUAGCGAACAAGUACCGUGAGGGAAAGAUGAAAAGCACUUUGGAAAGAGAGUUAAACAGUACGUGAAAUUGUUAAAAGGGAAACGAUUGAAGUCAGUCGUGACUGAGAGGCUCAGCCGGUUCUGCCGGUGUAUUCCCCUCAGUCGGGUCAACAUCAGUUUUGUUCGGUGGAUAAGGGCAGUUGGAAGGUGGCACCCUUGGGUGUGUUAUAGCCAGCUGUCGCAUACAUCGGAUGAGACUGAGGAAUGCAGCUCGCCUUUAUGGCCGGGGUUCGCCCACGUUCGAGCUUAGGAUGUUGACAUAAUGGCUUUAAACGACCCGUCUUGAAACACGG
rnacentral:rRNA from 1 species